rnacentral:rRNA from 1 species
AUUGAACGCUAGCGGGAUGCUUUACACAUGCAAGUCGAACGAGGGGCGGACGGGUGAGUAAUAUAUCGGAACGUGCCCAGUAGCGGGGGAUAACUACUCGAAAGAGUGGCUAAUACCGCAUACUAUUGGAGCGGCCGAUAUCGGAUUGGCUAGUUGGUGGGGUAAAGGCUCACCAAGGCCACGAUCCGUAGCUGGUCUGAGAGGACGAUCAGCCAACCUGGGACUGAGACACGGCCCAGACUCCUACGGGAGGCAGCAGUGGGGAAUUUUGCACAAUGGGGGCAAGCCUGAUCCAGCCAUCCCGCGUGUAUGAGAAGGCCUUAGGGUUGUAAAGUACUUUUGGUAGGGAAGCGUUACCGACAGAAGAAGCACCGGCUAACUCCGUGCCAGCAGCCGCGGUAAUAC